CACCAAACCAUCAGGAAACCUCAGAUCACCAAACCAUCAGGGAACCUUGGAUCACCACACCACCUGGAAACCUCAGAUCACCAAACCAUCAGGAAGCCUCGGAUCACCAAACCAUCAGGGAACCUUGGAUCACCAUACCACCAGGAAACCAUCAGGAAGCCUCGGAUCACCAAACCAUCAGGGAACCUUGCAUCAACACAUCAUCAGGAAACCUAGGAUCACCACACCAGCAGGAAGC